GCUGCACCUUCAUGUCCUCAGACGGGUUAUUUAACUUAUCAUCCCCUUACCUAUCAUUUUAACCCAGAAAUAGUAGUUGCCAUGUGGCAAUUCAGGCAUCAGCUGGUUCCACCUAAUCCGGACUGUAAAGUUAUUUUACAGGUAUGCAUUUAUAUAUGUAUUAUACACACCCAUAAAAACAGUACUGGAGUUGGAGGACGUCGAUAGAAGUGCUGACGUUUGCAGAGUUGUUGUAAGCACCCUGGGGACAGAGGGGAUCUUCAUGGCCCUCCAGCUUGGUGCUGCACCACCAGAGGGAGCAAAUAGGGGAGACAUCAGCCGUGCCACUUGGGCCCCUGCGUUUAGUUUUGGAGCUGGGCUGCUGCCUUGA
rnacentral:lncRNA from 1 species